rnacentral:rRNA from 1 species
UACAGAGGUCUCAAGCGUUGUUCGGAUUCAUUGGGCGUAAAGGGUAGGUAGGUGGUCUCAUUUGUCUGGGGUGAAAUCCUUGGGCUUAACUCAAGAAGUGCCCCAGAAACGGUGAGACUAGAGUCCUGGAGAGGGUCGUGGAAUUCCCGGUGUAGCGGUGAAAUGCGUAGAGAUCGGGAGGAACACCAGAGGCGAAAGCGGCGACCUAGACAGGCACUGACACUCAACUACGAAAGCGUGGGGAGCAAACAGG